rnacentral:misc_RNA from 1 species
GCAACUAGUUGUCAUGAUUCAGCUUCUAUUAGACAUCUUUCUGGUAUAUCUGAAGGGCCAAAGGGACCCCCUGCUGAACCUCAAUGUCGCCAAAUUAAUGGUCAUCGUACUGCACCAAGCACAGUUAAGAAAAGACUAAAGCAAGGACCUGCCUCAAGCAGCCAUGGUGAAUGUUCUACAUCAGUCUCUAAGGAUGUAGACAUCAUUUGCCUUAGCUCACCUGAAAGUAGGGUUAAUACAAG